rnacentral:rRNA from 1 species
CGACGUGCGCGGCGGGGCAUGCCCCUUAAUGCAGUACAGCGGAGUUGAUAAGAAGCUUGCUUCCUUGAUGCUUAGCGGCGGACGGGUGAGUAACACGUAGGCAACCUGCCCUCAAGCUUGGGACAACUACCGGAAACGGUAGCUAAUACCGAAUACUUGCUUUCUUCGCCUGAAGGAAGCUGGAAAGACGGAGCAAUCUGUCACUUGAGGAUGGGCCUGCGGCGCAUUAGCUAGUUGGUGAGGUAACGGCUCACCAAGGCGACGAUGCGUAGCCGACCUGAGAGGGUGAUCGGCCACACUGGGACUGAGACACGGCCCAGACUCCUACGGGAGGCAGCAGUAGGGAAUCUUCCGCAAUGGGCGAAAGCCUGACGGAGCAAUGCCGCGUGAGUGAUGAAGGUUUUCGGAUCGUAAAGCUCUGUUGCCAGGGAAGAACGUCCUUGAAGUAACUGCUCAAGGAGUGACGGUACCUGAAAAAAAGC